CCUACGGGAGGCAGCAGUGGGGGAUAUUGCACAAUGGGGGAAACCCUGAUGCAGCGAAGCCGCGUGGGUGAAGAAGCGCCUCGGCGCGUAAAGCCCUGUCAGCAGGGAAGAAAAUGACGGUACCUGAAGAAGAAGCCCCGGCUAACUACGUGCAAGCAUCGGCGGUAAUAAGUAGGGGGCAAGCGUUAGCCGGCUGUACUGGGUGUAAAGGGGGCGCAGACGGCGAGACAAGCCAGGAGUGAAAGCCCGGGGCCCAACCCCGGGACUGCUCUUGGAACUGCGUGGCUAGAGUGCAGGAGGGGCAGGCGGAAUUCCUGGUGUAGCGGUGAAAUGCGUAGAUAUCAGGAGGAACACCGGUGGCGAAGGCGGCCUGCUGGACUGCAACUGACGUUGAGGCCCGAAAGCGUGGGGAGCAAACAGGAUUAGAUACCCUGGUAGUC
rnacentral:rRNA from 1 species